GUUAGCAAUUAAACGAUUAUGUGGUUCAUAUGAAGCAGCUAAUUGCUAGUGUUGCCAGCAAGUGAGCUUAUGAAGCUUUCCCCUUACAGGUGGGGACAAGGGUCUUGAACUCCAGUGUCUUGUGCAUGGUAAUGUGUGCACUUUACUGAAUGCACUACCAUCUACCCCCCCUUCCUUAGUUCAUAUUUUUUUGUUUUUUUGUUUUGCUUUUAAGUGUUUACUUAUUUAUUUCCUUUGUCUUCUUCUUCUUCCUUUUUUUUUUUUUUUUUUUUGCCCCUUAUCAGAGCAUUGCUCUGCUCUGGUUUAUAUUGAACCUAGGAUUUUGGAGCCUCAGGCAAGAGAGUCUGUUAGCAUAAUCAUUAUGCUAUCUAGCCUGCCCCUAAGUUCAUGUUUUUGCAGGUUGCAUUUGUGUGUGUUUCAUCAUUUGGAGCUUCAUCAUUCUUUGCUGAAUUUUCCAGAGAUCAUGACUCUUGAAGAAGAGGUAUCAAUCUGGAACCCUACCACUAGAACUUAAAAGGGACCUCUGCACCCUUUGUCCUGAUCCUUCCCAUUUCCUGCGGCUGGUCCAUUUUCUACAUUGUGAAAACUCUCUGGAGGGAGAUGAAGACACAGAGCUCUGGUAUCCGAAUUGUUUGCAGAGAAAAUUGAAAGGUAUGAGAAGUUACAUGGGACAUCAGAAAAG